rnacentral:ncRNA from 1 species
AGGUCUGGUCCUAGCCUUAUAGUCAACUUUUACUCAAUUUACACAUGCAAGCCUCCACACCCCAGUGAAUACGCCCCUAAAACCCUCCAGGGUUUAGGAGCCGACAUAGGCGCAAUAACUCGCCCAAAAUCUAGCCUCGCCACACCCACACGGGUCUUCAGCAGUGAUUAAUAUUGAACAUGAGCGACAGCUCGAUUCAGUUAAAGUAAAUAGAGCCGGCAAAUUUGGUGCCAGCCGCCGCGGUUACACCACUUGGCUCGCGUUGACUUCUCCCGGCGUAAAACGUGAUUAAAAAGAUAUUGUAAACUAGAACUAAAUUUUUAUUAAGCUGUAGCACGCUUUUACUAAAGAAUCCCAUUAACGAAAGUUGUUCUAAUUAAACCUACUUGACCUCACAACAGCUAAAACACAAACUGAGAUUAGAUACCCCACUAUGUUUAGCCGUAAACUUUAAUUUACACCCCCCCCCCCCCCCCUCGCCAGGGAACUACGAGCAAUGCUUAAAACCCAAAGGACUUGACGGUACCCCACAUCCCCCUAGAGGAGCCUGUCCCAUAAUCGAUACUCCGCGUUCAACCACACCACUUUUAGUCUUUCAGUCUGUAUACUUCCGUCGUCAGCCCACCGCAUGAGCGCAUACCAGUGGGCUAAAUGCUUCCCCAUCAGUACGUCAGGUCAAAGUGCAGCAAAUAAAGUGGGAGGAGAUGGGCUACACUUUCUAUACUAGAAUAAACGGAAGGCCAGCAUGAAACUGCGGCCAAAAGGUGGAUUUAGCAGUAAAGGGGGAUUAGAACGCCCCCUUAAACCCGGCACUGGGUUGUGUACACACCGCCCGUCACCCUAUUCAAACCAAACCCAUAGUAUUUAACGAACAAUAAACAAAAGAAGAGGUAAGUCGUAACAUGGUAAGUAUACCGGAAGGUGUGCUUGGAAA